rnacentral:rRNA from 1 species
UACAUGGGGUGCAAACGUUGCUCGGUAUUAUUGGGCGUAAAGCGCGCGUAGGCGGUUACUUAAGUCGGAUGUGAAAGCCCUCGGCUUAACUGAGGAAGUGCACCCGAAACUGAGUAGCUAGAGUACGAAAGAGGGUCGCGGAAUUCCCGGUGUAGAGGUGAAAUUCGUAGAUAUCGGGAGGAACACCGGUGGCGAAGGCGGCGACCUGGGUCGAGACUGACGCUGAGGCGCGAAAGCGUGGGGAGCAAACAGG